AUUGAACGCUGGCGGCAGGCCUAACACAUGCAAGUCGAGCGGAUGAAGGGAGCUUGCUCCUGGAUUCAGCGGCGGACGGGUGAGUAAUGCCUAGGAAUCUGCCUGGUAGUGGGGGAUAACGUCCGGAAACGGGCGCUAAUACCGCAUACGUCCUGAGGGAGAAAGUGGGGGAUCUUCGGACCUCACGCUAUCAGAUGAGCCUAGGUCGGAUUAGCUAGUUGGUCGGGUAAAGGCCUACCAAGGCGACGAUCCGUAACUGGUCUGAGAGGAUGAUCAGUCACACUGGAACUGAGACACGGUCCAGACUCCUACGGGAGGCAGCAGUGGGGAAUAUUGGACAAUGGGCGAAAGCCUGAUCCAGCCAUGCCGCGUGUGUGAAGAAGGUCUUCGGAUUGUAAAGCACUUUAAGUUGGGAGGAAGAGCAGUAAGUUAAUACCUUGCUGUUUUGACGUUACCAACAGAAUAAGCACCGGCUAACUUCGUG
rnacentral:rRNA from 1 species